rfam:Sus scrofa isolate TJ Tabasco breed Duroc chromosome 16, whole genome shotgun sequence.
UCCCUGGUGGCCUAGCAGUUAAGGAUCUGGCAUUGUCACUGCCAUGAUGCAAGUUCGAUCCCUGCUCUGGGAA